UUGGCUUAGAAGCAGCCAUUCCUUUAAAGAGUGCGUAAUAGCUCACUGGUCGAGGGCUUCUGCGCCGAAAAUGUAACGGGGCUAAGCAUAUCACCGAAGCCACGGGUUCGUAAGUGAUUCGUCACUUAUGGGCGGUAGGGGAGCGUUCUGCCGUAGGAAGAAGGCAUACCGCGAGGAGUGCUGGACGAAGCAGAAGUGAGAAUGUCGGAACGAGUAGCGAUAAGACGGGUGAGAAACCCGUUCGCCGUAAACCUAAGGUUUCCUGGGGAAGGUUAAUCCUCCCAGGGUUAGUCGGUCCUAAGCCGAGGCCGAGAGGCGUAGGUGAAGGGAAACAGGUUAAUAUUCCGCACCAUGGUCAGUUGUUUUAUCGAUGGAGUGACGCAGGAGGUUAUACCCGCACGGAAAGAAAUUGCCGUGUCGAACGGUGUAGGCAGUGAUCGCAGGCAAAUCCGCGGUUGCUAUCAAGCUGAGGCCGGACAGGCCACCGAAUUAAGUAGGUGGAAGGAGUAGAUACCGCGCUGCCGAGAAAAGCUUCUAAGAGAGACUGAUUGUGACCGUACCGUAAACCGACACAGGUGGGUGAGGAGAAUAUCCUAAGGCGCUCGAAAGAACCCACGUUAAGGAACUCGGCAAAUUAACUCCGUAACUUCGGGAGAAGGAGUGCUCCGGUAGGGUGACUGGAAUACAUAGGAAACUUUGUAUCGAAAGGUAGCCCGAUGGAGUCGCAGAGAAUAGGCUCAGGCGACUGUUUAUCAAAAACACAGGACUCUGCUAAGGCGAAUAGCCGACGUAUAGGGUCUGACGCCUGCCCAAUGCUGGAAGGUUACGGGGAGGGGUCAGGAGUAGUAAUACUCCGAAGCUCCGAACUUAAGCCCCAGUGAAUGGCGGCCGUAACUAUAACGGUCCUAAGGUAGCGAAAUCCCUUGUCAGGUAAGUUCUGACCCGCAUGAAUGGCUUAACGGUCUGAGCACUGUCUCAACGUGGGGUUCGGCGAAACUGUGCACCGGGUGAAGACGCCCGGUAUCCGCAUCAGGACAAAAAGACCCCGUGGAGCUUUACUGUAUCUUGAUAUUGGAUUUUGGCCUGUUAUGUAGAGCAUAGGUGGGAGACUAUGAAGUUAGGGCGCCAGCCUUGGCGGAGUCGACAAUGGAAUACCACCCUUAUCAGUCUGGAAUUCUAACCUUGGCCCAUUGAUCUGGGUUGGGGACAGUGUCAGGUGGGCAGUUUGACUGGGGCGGUCGCCUCCUAAAGAGUAACGGAGGCGUUCAAAGGUUCCCUCAGCGUGAUUGGAAACCACGCGCAGAGUGUAAAGGCAAAAGGGAGCUUGACUGUGAGGCAAACGAGCCGAGCAGGGACGAAAGUCGGACUUAGUGAUCCGGUGGUACCGAAUGGAAGGGCCAUCGCUCAACGGAUAAAAGCUACCCCGGGGAUAACAGGCU
rnacentral:rRNA from 1 species